UUUGGGGAAAAUUAAAAUAAAAUUAUUUUAAUAAAAAUUGAUCUUUACAAAACUAAAUGAAAAAGGUACUCUAGGGAUAACAGCGUUAUAGUUAUUAAAGCCCAUAUUUAAGUAACUGUUUGC
rnacentral:rRNA from 1 species